UUUUCUACAGAUCAGAUUGACUUG
rnacentral:miRNA from 1 species